rnacentral:rRNA from 1 species
AUUGAACGCUGGCGGCAGGCCUAACACAUGCAAGUCGAACGAGUGGCGGACGGGCGAGCAAUGUCUGGGAAACUGCCUGAUCGAGGGGGCAAACUACUGGAAACGGUAGCUAAUACCGCAUACCAUCAGAUGUGCCCAGGUGGGAUUAGCUUGUUGGUGGGGUAACGGCUCACCAAGGCGACGAUCCCUAGCUGGCCUGAGAGGAUGACCAGCCACACUGGAACUGAGACACGGUCCAGACUCCUACGGGAGGCAGCAGUAGGGAAUAUUGGACAAUGGGCGAAAGCCUGAUGCAGCCAUGCCGCGUGUGUGAAGAAGGUCUUCGGGUUGUAAAGUUCUUUCAUCGGGGAGGCGUUACCCACAGAGGAAGCCCCGGCUAACUCCGUGCCAGCAGCCGCGGUAAUUC